AGCGAACGCUGGCGGCAGGCUUAACACAUGCAAGUCGAGCGGGCGUAGCAAUACGUCAGCGGCAGACGGGUGAGUAACGCGUGGGAACGUACCUUUUGGUUCGGAACAACCCAGGGAAACUUGGGCUAAUACCGGAUAAGCCCUUACGGGGAAAGAUUUAUCGCCAAAAGAUCGGCCCGCGUCUGAUUAGCUAGUUGGUGAGGUAACGGCUCACCAAGGCGACGAUCAGUAGCUGGUCUGAGAGGAUGAUCAGCCACAUUGGGACUGAGACACGGCCCAAACUCCUACGGGAGGCAGCAGUGGGGAAUAUUGGACAAUGGGCGCAAGCCUGAUCCAGCCAUGCCGCGUGAGUGAUGACGCCCCUCGGGUGUAAA
rnacentral:rRNA from 1 species